CCAGGUGUGUAUGGAAACAAGACAAGGCAAAUGGAUAUAUGGAAAAUGGAGCGGUGAUGGCUAGAAAGCCGGUGACAUCUAUCGCCGAACACCGCCCGAACAAGUCAUGACACUGCCACAACAUUCACUGUCUUCUUGGAUGGCUCAAGAAUGGCAACCUUCAUGGAACCAAUGGAAAAGAGGUUGUACUUGUCUUUGAGCUGGCAGUCUGACCAUUGUAGUAUGGGGAUGAAGAAG